rnacentral:rRNA from 1 species
AGAUUGAACGCUAGCGGGAUGCUUUACACAUGCAAGUCGAACGGCAGCGCGGACUUCGGUCUGGCGGCGAGUGGCGAACGGGUGAGUAAUAUAUCGGAACGUGCCUGGUAGCGGGGGGAUAACUACGCGAAAGCGUGGCUAAUACCGCAUACGCCCUACGGGGGAAAGGGGGGGAUCGCAAGACCUCUCACUAUCAGAGCGGCCGAUAUCAGAUUAGCUAGUUGGUGAGGUAAAGGCUCACCAAGGCGACGAUCUGUAGCUGGUUUGAGAGGACGACCAGCCACACUGGGACUGAGACACGGCCCAGACUCCGUACGGGAGGCAGCAGUGGGGAAUUUUGGACAAGUGGGCGACAAGCCUAGACGUCCAGCCAUACCGCGUGGGUGAAGAAGGCCGUCGGUUGUAACGUCCGUUUGUUACGGUAAGAAAGACGAACGUGUUACGUACCGUUA